rnacentral:lncRNA from 1 species
UGGCAUGCCUGGCAUUCAUGCAUGGUGCCCAGCACUAGCACAGUGAAGCCCAGGUUUCCAGGCGCUGAGUAACAGCUCAUGAUCCCUAUCAAGUAAUGGCUCCAGGGUUUGUUUACCAACAUCCACUGGAGACUCCAGCUUUUCUGUAGAAACAGAAACUGAGCCCAGGCUUAUCCAGGAAGCCCAAAAGUCCACGUGGGCACAUCCCUGGAGAAGACAGCCCCAGCUCAGCCUCCUGUUUUACCUUUUGGACUGCUGUGUCCCUCUGAGACAGGC